rnacentral:tRNA from 1 species
GGGCCCGUAGCUCAGCUUGGAUGGAGAGGAUGUUUACCCCGGAGCGGCGGCCUUCGGAGCCGUAGGUCGUGGGUUCAAAUCCCACCGGGCCCGCCA